AUAUGAACCACUCAGGAAUCUUGUUUAAAUGCAGAUUCUGAUUCAACAGAGCUGGGGAGAGGGCUGAGAGUCUGAAUUUCUAACAAGCUCCCCAGUGAUGCCCAU
rnacentral:pre_miRNA from 1 species